CACAGUGAAGCUCGCACAAAUUUUACCCACGCACUGCGGUUCAAUUUGAAAUUUUUUACCCACGUAAACGUGAUCUGUCCUGAACGUGACUAUUAUUAAUGGAGGUAUAAAAAAAAAAGAACAGAAAAAACCGCUAACCGAAUCGAACACGGUUGUUCCAGCAAUUUUAUCGUCCGUCAAGACGAAAUUUAUAACAGCAAUUGAGGUUAAUUUGUUUCAAGUGAUCGAAUACCCUUGCUAAUAAUGAUCAAUAGCAUUCAUUUACUAUUCAAUGAGAAGUUUGCAACGAUUUGAAUUUAUGCAUGUGAAGUAGCAGCUAACGGCUCGAAUCUGUCUACCAAUCAAAAAUUAGCAACCCGAGGAAUCUGGAUUUCUAUUGGUUAUUGAUUCUUGAUUUCUAUUGGCUGUGACGUCACCCGCGGAAAAACCGCCAAGCAUCCGGCAUUUCCAGGACGUAAUAUAUACGAAACACGGAUGGCUGUGCACGUGCACGAAUGACAUCUUGGUAUUCUUCCGAAAGAUCAAGCUGACAAUGCAGAUAAGUAUGGUCCCUGCAGUCGGUACACGUGCAACUUAUUCAACCUG